AAUCUAGAGGAAAACCUUUCUUAAAAGAGAUUGAAGCCCUAGCUAUAGGAGGUAAAAUACAUGUUUUUUUUGUCCUUAAUCUCUUAACUUCCAUGUUUAAUUUCAUACCUUAACAUAGGGUUUGGAGUUUAGAGGCCAUGGGAACCCUUGUUAAUUGAAUUUUGGGAGAAUUCAUGGUGAACUCUUGAGGAUUAAUAUGAAUUUCAGAAGGAUUGCCUAGUUUAAGAAUUCUGAAGAAUUGAAAAUCUUGCAUCUGACUGAUUUUAGGGACUUUUAUUGAGGUACUUCUAAAACUCCAAAAAUUAUGAGAUUUUUACUGAGACUUCCUUUAUGUGUCUUUCAUGUAUGGUAAAAAUUUCAGACGAUAACUCAAAGUAUUGAGUUCCAUAGAAAUUCGUAACCUAACAGCACUCAAAUUCGUCACUGUGCAGUCAGCGUUGUCACAUGUUAGGAAAACGAUUGUAUCUUUUAGCACGAGCAUCGAAAACGUGCGCCAUUUUUUGAUUUUGAAACUAGACACAUAGACCUUUAAAAAUAUGUAAAGGUUGCUCCUUAAUUAUGCCUGAGCAAAAUCAGGUUUUGGUUUGAAGUUGUCAAAAUUUCAGAUUCUGUAAUUGUUCUCUCGAGGCUCGCUAUUUAACUUUAUAUUUGACCCUAGAGUCUUGAUUAGUAAUACUUAGGACAUCGAGAGAUUAGGAUACGAUUAGAAUAUCUUGAAUUGUAUCUAAUAUAUGUUCUUGAUGCUUAUUUGAUAUAGGAAGUUUUGUGAAAGCUUGGAGUUGAGGAAUUGAAGAGUUGGAUAGCGUGACACUUGUUUUGUGGAGUCAGGUCUUAUGGUUAUUUUAUAGACAGAAGAUGUGUUUAGAUUACUUAUUAAAUUCUAUAACCAUUGUAAGUAGCUUACUAAACCUCAUAAUUAAGCACAGCUCUGAGGUGUGUUUCGGGUAUCCUUAGCCUUUGUCAGUGUAAGUUGUCGUUUUAUUAGAUUGCACAGAAUAUGCUUCCGCUA